rnacentral:rRNA from 1 species
AACGCGAAGAACCUUACCAACCCUUGACAUGGGACGUAUGGGCUUCAGAGAUGAGGUCCUUCAGUUCGGCUGGCGUCCACACAGGUGCUGCAUGGCUGUCGUCAGCUCGUGUCGUGAGAUGUUGGGUUAAGUCCCGCAACGAGCGCAACCCUCAUCUUCAGUUGCCAUCAUUUAGUUGGGCACUCUGAAGAAACUGCCGGUGACAAGCCGGAGGAAGGCGGGGAUGACGUCAAGUCCUCAUGGCCCUUACGGGUUGGGCUACACACGUGCUACAAUGGCGGUGACAAUGGGGAGCAAAGGCGCGAGCCCGAGCCGAUCUCAAAAAGCCGUCUCAGUUCGGAUUGCACUCUGCAACUCGGGUGCAUGAAGUUGGAAUCGCUAGUAAUCGCGUAUCAGCAUGACGCGGUGAAUACGUUCC